GAGAGGGUUAUAAGACCUGCUAACUC
rnacentral:tRNA from 1 species